rnacentral:rRNA from 1 species
UACGUAGGGCGCAAGCGUUAUCCGGAAUUAUUGGGCGUAAAGAGCUCGUAGGCGGUUUGUCGCGUCGGCUGUGAAAACCUGGGGCUCAACCCCGGGCCUGCAGCCGAUACGGGCAAACUAGAAUUCGGUAGGGGAGACUGGAAUUCCUGGUGUAGCGGUGAAAUGCGCAGAUAUCAGGAGGAACACCGGUGGCGAAGGCGGGUCUCUGGGCCGAUAUUGACGCUGAGGAGCGAAAGCGUGGGGAGCAAACAGG